GCCUUCAAUAGUUGGGAACCACUGGUAAGUGUUCUGCACCGCUGUUCGCUGCAAAGCUACACCGCUGCGGGAAAACUACCGGUGGGCUUCUUUCGAAGUUCAAGAUUAUUUAAUGCGAUGUUCGGUUUGAACUGCGGUUCUUUUUGAUGACAGCAGCCAGACCGACAGCAGCAUUGAGUCAGCGAUCACUAUUUAAGUUCGCACCGGCGUACGUUGGUUUUGCUUCUCAGCAAAACAUUUUGGUCCUCCUGAGCCGUCGAACUCCCACGAUACAUAACAGCGGAAGUACAUAUGUACAUCAAUACCUAACUCUAACCCGAAUUUCAGCAGAGAAGGAAGAAAAAAGCCAGCAAAUCUUUUUAAGAACAAAAGCCCGAUCGAGGAGCAAAAGUCCGAGGAAACCACGAACAAGUCAACUCAGCUAUAUUAAACGAAAUACAUACAAACAUACAGCAUCAAGACCAUGGAACUAGUUCCCGUAGACCGAUCGACACCAUCAUCGCCACGCGCCUCGCCUCCACCGCCACCGACAGAUGCCUCCGCCCAGCGCGCAGCCAGGGAAGGCAGGUCCAAAUGUAGAGUUUGCCACCGGUCGCAUCCUCUCCGGCAUUGUAGGCGAUUCUUAGAUGCCAACUACGAGCGCCGGCUGCGCCUUGUGCUUCUCCAUCGAUAUUGCUCGCGAUGUUUAGCCCACUCCCACACGGCCAAGAACUGUCUGAGCAACGGGACGUGCCAAUAUUGUGAGGAAAAGCAUCACACCCUGUUGCAUGCAAACCACCGUCUUUCUCCCCGACGCCAACUUCCCCUACUUUUAACGCAGCUUUCGGGAACAGUCACCGUUCUACCCACCGUUGCGGUUUACCUACACAUUGGGCCUCGGAAAAUUUUAGCUCGGGCUCUGAUAGACCCUUGCUCGCAAACGAGCAAAAUUUGCCACGCGCUGGUGCACCGGCUCCGCCUAAAGACGGUGCCCGUGGCGAAUAUCAGCAUGUGCGAGCUCCACGUAAGCUCGUCAAAUGAUGCACAUGUGCGAUUCUCCUUGCCGGCGAGGGUACUGGCGGAGAUCGGGUUGAAAACUCCCGCUCGUCAUCUCAGCCAAGCGACGCGGGACAAAUUCAUUAACCUCAAGCUCGCCGAUCCUGGUUUCCACACUUCCUCUGCCGUCGCCUUGAUUUUCGGUGGGGAUGUAUAUCAUAAAAUCAUAAGAGGCGAACUUAUUGCUUAUCCUGGGUUUCCUACCGCCCAGAACUCUAUUU